GUCACCCACAGCUGCAGUCCCUCAGGGGCGCAUCCGUUGUCAUGAAGUGCUUCCUUCCACGAGUGUCUCCAGCCAUACAUCUCCUCAGCCAUCUCUCCCUCCAUGCGUCUCCUCUGGCAUCUCUCCRUGCGUCUCUGUACAUCUUUCCUCAUGUGUCUCCUCCCCUCGCAGGGAGGUUUUUUCAAUAUAUCUCAGCAGGGUCCUCUGACGGGCUGCUGUUUUGGCACACGAUGGGUUGCUCACACUGGUUUCAGAGCUGGCUGGGCCUGACUGUGACAGGUGGUGGUUGGUGUGAAGGAACAGAGAAGGGAAAGGAUGAGGCAAAACUUCUAAGGAGGAUGUGUGAAGAUGAUUGUGUAACAGCUCUGGAUCCUGCUCAUAUCUUCAUUGUGGGUGGAGAAAGAUAGCUGGAGUGGCUCUCUGGAGAACAGAAUUGCAAUAAGAUGUGGGAGGUUCUUACAAGUCACCUGUGAGCUGCUUCCUCCCAUUCCUGAACCACGUCUACCUGGGAGGAACUUUAAAUUGCCRCCUGGCUCAGCCCCGGCAACUCACACCUGCAAUAUGAAGUCAAGAAGCAUCUUCCUGCUGGGGCUCCUCGUCCUAUGGGCAGAACUGCAGGCUGCACCCACAAAAGCAGGAGUCACGUGCAAGUGUUUGCUCAGGUGCAGAGAUGACAAGGACUGUCCGCCGGGGCACGUGUGCAGCAGCUCCCAGGGAAGGCUCGUCUGCAGACCUGUUGCUGCUGGCGGGAUCCCAGGAGCAACCUCUCCUGCCCCUGCUGGUGGUGCAGAGAGACAACCACAGGAAGAGAUGCCAGGAAGCGCUUUGCCAGGGGAAAGCCCUUCGUCAAGGGAAAAACCCAGCUCUGUUUCAAGCCCCGAGUCCAGCACAGUCACCCCAGCCAAGAAGCCGGAGUCAGGUGAACAUCCGGUGUCUAAAGAGAAGCACCCAUCUGGGGAAAAGCCAGUGGCUUCUGUGACACCUGCGACAGGGGAGAAACCGGUGUCUGGGGUGAAGCCCACACCAGGGAAGAAACCCGCACUGGUUGAGAAGCCAGAGACUGGGGGGAAGCCAGAGACUGGGGAAGAGCCGGCAUCCGAGGGGAAGCUGGAGGCUGGGGGGAAGCCAGAGACUGGGGAAGAGCCGGCAUCUGAGGGGAAGCCGGAGGCUGGGGAGAAGCCUGUGUCAGGAGAGAAGACAGAGUCCGACCAGGGUGACAGUGGAGAGGAUGACGAUGCUGAUGAUGAUGAUGGUCGUGAUGAUGAUGAUGAUGAGGAGGAGGAGGAGGAGGAGGAGAAAAACAAACACAACACCUAUGACUAUGACAAUGAUGAUAACGACAACUACCACUACGGGGAUGAUGAUGGUGAUGACGAUGACGACGACGGUGGUGACAACGGUGGUGAUGAUGACGAUGGUGGUGAUGGUGGCGACGAUGGUGACGGCAAUGGCGGUGAUGGUGAUGGUGUCUGGUGACCAGUGGCCAUGGGCUGUGCAAGGAGCGUGUGGGGCGAGGAAAGCCUGCGGCAGCUGGGCAUGUGAGGCAGGCUGGUGGUGUGGGACAGCUGCCCUUGGCCUCCCCCCUCUGCCUCCACCCUCUGCCUCACUCUGCCAGGGCUGGUCCCAGGCACCAAAGUGAUUUUGGGCAGGACCUUCUCUCUUUCCUAAUAAAUCCCCCGUUGGGCCAUUCGCUUGGAGUGCA
ensembl:lncRNA glutamic acid-rich protein-like